rnacentral:rRNA from 1 species
CGAACGCUGGCGGCGUGCUUAACACAUGCAAGUCGAACGGAAAGGCCCUGCUUUUGUGGGGUGCUCGAGUGGCGAACGGGUGAGUAACACGUGAGUAACCUGCCCUUGACUUUGGGAUAACUUCAGGAAACUGGGGCUAAUACCGGAUAGGAGCUCCUGCUGCCUGGUGGGGGUUGGAAAGUUUCGGCGGUUGGGGAUGGACUCGCGGCUUAUCAGCUUGUUGGUGGGGUAGUGGCUUACCAAGGCUUUGACGGGUAGCCGGCCUGAGAGGGUGACCGGCCACCUUGGGACUGAGAUACGGCCCAGACCCCUACGGGAGGCAGCAGUGGGGAAUAUUGCACAAUGGGCGGAAGCCUGAUGCAGCAACGCCGCGUGCGGGAUGACGGCCUUCGGGUUGUAAACCGCUUUCGCCUGUGACGAAGCGUGAGUGACGGUAAUGGGUAAAGAAGCACCGGCUAACUACGUG